UAAAAUCUGCAAUGUCUUGGAUAAAACUAGCUGGGAUGUUUGUUGUUAGCAGUGUAAUAUGUCUAGAAACGCCUUGCUUAGCAUUCUCCAGCUCUAGCUAGCUGAAAACACAGCAGCUAGCUUACGACUAGCUUGUUAAUGCUAGCAAAGUCGUUACAGCAGUAAUUGUUGACGUUACAGCUCCGUAUGGGGCCAUGGCUAAAAAAGGGAUCCAUCUUUUGUCAAAUUAACGUCAAAAGUUGGAAGGUUUUGCAUUUUAACUAACCCUAACCCCUUACCUAAUCUUAACCUAAUUAUCACAACAUGCUACAUUAACAGGUUUUGUUUAGCUCGAUAACUGUCGAUAAUUCGUGUACAUUCAAAUCAAAUAGUUAAAUGAUUUAUCUUGCGUUCUUAAUGAAGACCAAUAUUACUGGACGCCACAAGCAGAUGUGAAGUCGUCAUUACUAGUCGGCGACACGUUAUUUUUGGACAGAAAACACUGCGGGUGAAAGUGUUGCUGGAGCCAGCCUUCUUAAGGUACUUUCGUUACUGCAUUUGGUAAAUAAUGCUGUAGUGAAAUUGCAAUAGAGCAUGCCGAGUCUACUUUCUAGUUGUCUGAAUAAUUUCACUCAAAAUAUACGCCUGAGCAGACAACGGUAUGACGUUGAACGACAGCACAGACGACGACGGUUUUUGCGUACUGACGGAAGAAGCAGCAAUCGAGGAUGCAACAUGCUUUCGAGGUGUGUGGAAGCGGGGUCGAAGACCCGGUGAAGAUGUUUGCAGUAUGAUGUUGGAUGAUUUUGACGACGAUCAAAGGCGCAAACAGUUCCGCAUGACUCAGACCACAUUUGAACACCUUGCACAGUUAGUAGAGUCUGGGAACUAAACAGACCACCAAUGUCUGAAACACAAUUGAAUACCGUCUGCUCUAUUUUUGGUGGUGGUGUGCAACACCAAGCGAGCACCAGAUUAUUUAAAGUUAAUUUGGAGUCGGUGUUUCCACUGUUUGCAUCAUUCUGAAGACAAGUACACCCGCUGUAUUUCGCUACCCGGUGGUAAAGGCAUCCUAGCCACCAUCUGUGGGUUUAAGCAGCUUGGUAUCCAAUGUGCUGGUGACCAUCGGUGAGACACACAUCCCCAUCACUGCCUCAAAAUAAUAUCCAAAGGACUACUUGAACAGCAAAGGGCAGCAUUAUUCUGUGUUGCAGGCUGUUGCUGAUCACAAUCUUAGAGUUCAGCGAUUGUCAUUGGUGUAGAGAUGCCAGUUCAUCCGGUAGGAGACCCUGAAGAGGUGGUUAAUGACAGGCUUUUCCCAGGACACAUCUCUGAAUAACCACCAGCAGAAGUUUAAUGACCACCUGAGUUCUGCCAGGGUGGCUAUUGACAACGUCUUAGGACACUUGAAGGACACUCAGAGAGAUGUUUGGUGAAGUGCAUCGACGUUAAGUUGACGACAGACACUGUAACGGCUUGUUGCAUACUGCACAAUGUGUGCAAACUGAAGAAAUAAUUGUUUCUGGCUGAAUGGAACCGGAACAUCAUUGGCCAAGAUCAUCAGCAGACAGAGGCUAAGCUCACAGAGCAAGACCAUAGUUUACUACAAGGGCCAGUGGAGGAAAGUGUUGCUACUGUACGGGAUGCAAUUCGGACCUCUUUACAUGACACCAUCAUAACCGUGCACUGAUGUUUUAGCUUUGUGGUGCAAGUUGUUUGUGAUUACUGUUAAGUAUCGCGGUGCUCAAGUUGUGGCUAUGCCAAAAAUAACAUUUUGUAACAAUGUGAAUUUGCAGUGCAACAUUUAAAAAAAAAUGUUUUUGCUUGAUUUUUUUUUUUCACGUGAAUGUUAUGUUACAUUACUUUACACUUUUAAGAUGUUUUUAUGUGAAUACUUUGUUCUUGUAAGAGCUCCUCAAUAAAUGGGUUUUAUGAACAUG